UCGUCAGGGUCUGAGCCAGUUUCCGAGCGCCGACUUCAGGCGCAUGCGCAUAAGCCAGUAUUCCUUCAUCUCCAAACAACUUCCAGUCUGAAAGCAGCAGAGGAUGGCCCAACUCCUUGGGCCCCUGAACACACGUGGGAGAUCCAGAAGAAGCUCCUGGCUCCUGAUUUCAGAUCAGCUCAGCUCCUGCUGUUGCAGCCAGUUGGGGAGUGAACCAGAGGAUGGAAGACCUCUCUCUGUAACUUUAAAAAAAGCUCUCUGCCAUGGCCUGGGGAAGCAGUAGAAGAUGGCUCAAGUCCUUGGAAUCCUGCACCAUCAUGGAGACCUGGAAGAAGCUUCUGGCUCCUGGCUUCGGCUCAGCCCAGCUGUGGCCAUUGCAGCCAUUUGGGGAGUGAACCAGUGGUUGGAAGACGUUUCUGUCUCUCUGUCUUUAUGUCUGUAACUGUACAUCACAUAUAAAUAAAUAAAUCUUAAAAAAAAAAAAAAAAAAAAAAAAAACAAACCCAGGGGCCCGUGCCGUGGUGCAGUAGGUUAAUCCUCUGCCUGUGGCGCUGGCAUCCCAUGUGGGUGCCGGUUCUAGUCCCGGCUGCUCCUCUUCCAAUCCAGCUCUCUGCUGUGGCCUGGGAAGGCAGUAGAAAAUGGCCCAAUUGCUUGGGCCCCUGUGCUCCCAUGGGAGACCAGGAAGAAGCACCUGGCUCCUGGCUUCAGAUCAGCACAUCUCCGGCCGUUUUGGCCACUUGGGGAGUGAAUCCGUGGACAGAAAACCUUUCUCUCUGUCUCUCCCUCUCACUGUCUGUAACUAUACCUCUCAAAUAAAUAAAUAAAAUUGUUUAAAAAAAAUACUACCAAGUGAGCCGCAGCGCCACACUGUCUAGCUCUGCCUGUCAAAAUGUAGUUUUUUCACUUUAUGUUGCUAUAUGGGCAAAAUGUUGAAAUCUUUACCUAAUAUAUACUAA